CAAAACCCUACCUAUUCGGGGGCUUUUGCAGAAUCCUACGACACAUUAAAUGCAGAACUAGAAGCCCAGCCAAACAUUCGAUUCGGAUUCUGCUGCGGCUCGCAGAAUCUGCGGCCUGGAGCUUUGAUUUGCUCAUUCAGCAGCUCGCUCAUCAGUACCAACAUGUGCUCUACUUCUUCCCGCAAUAUUAAUUUCGCAGCUCAGCUGCAUCCUGUGUCUUAACCAAACAGAGCUCCGCUGCAACCCUUAAACCCCCAAUAUGCAGCGCCGGAUGGCAUAUAUAGCAGCGUACCGACGUUAAAGCUUUCCUGUUCCGGUACCAGGCCUAGCAAUCGGUUGAUAAUUCGUUGUUCUUCUGAGGUUUUAGUUGAACCCAUGAUUGGAAACGGAUUUGGGGAAGAUGUCUACUGCCGUGACCUGAAUCUUGAAGAUAGCCACCACUUAUAUCUGAUUGGCGUUGAGGGUUUAAGGGAAUCGAUAAUUCAAAAUGGCGUUGUGAGAGAUGGCUGCAACUGUUAUCGGGAUCGGUAUCUGCAAGAGCUGUUCGAGGCUUUAGAGGGUUUUGAAGAACGCAGAACUGGGAUUAGAGUUUCGGAAGAUCACUACAAAAGGUAUUGGGCUGGGAAGCCUAUUGAGAUGAUUUUGCGAGAUCAUCUGAAAGGCGCCUGUAUUACUGGAGUCCCGAGUGAUUUACUUCGGCCGUGGUGGGAUGUACAAAGAGCUGCUAAUGGUGGUUCAGAACUAAUAAAUGUGCGAUCCGUUUCCAAAACAUUUUAUUCUCGAAUUCUCCGCAAACAAUCUCCAACCCAGCACGUCCGAUUUGGGAUGGCUUCCAGUAGCCCGUUUCCUCCCGAACCAAUUAACAUUAAUAUUAUCUCACAAAGUAACAUUAUCUUCAAUGGUAGCCACUUGAGUCAGCACAUAGGCCCGGAGAUUCGGUCGAGACCCACAAUUGAAGCUGGAAGUGGCGGAGAUGGUGGCAAUGGCAACGGACGAUUGCCACCAUCUGGCGGUGCCCGUGGUGGAGGAGGAAAAGAUGAUGAUGAUGGGGACGUUUAUGAUGACCAGUUCUCACGGUUUAUGAAGGCUGCAGCUGAAAAGAUGAGGGUUGAAGCCAAUGCUAAUGCUGAAGCCGCCAAGGCUGAAGCUGCCGCCAAGUCCAUGGGGACCCUGGUAAUUAAUGGGUUGAUGUCCAGAUUUGGAUUGUUGGUGGCGUCCUGCUGGAUCCUUGGGAAUCCUAUUCUUGCUGAUCCAUCUCUUCUGUUUAAAGUUGGUAUUGCAACACAGGUAGUCACUGGUUCUUGUUUUUCAACAUUUGCAGAACUGAAGAAGAAGGGGAUGGAGUUUUGGUCCAGAUUGUUUGCUGCAGACAUUCUGUUUGGGAUUACAGUUGACAUUGCUUUGGUGGUGUGCUGGCAACUUAUGCUCGUAUGGGCUGAUGCCAUCUGCUUCUGGUGGUUUUUUUGGGCACAUGCAACGUGCCUAUUCUUCCCUACGAGCAGUAUUUUUGAAGGUGGAAGUCCAGGAUUCAACAUUUCUUUGCAGCAACAGGGUCUCACCUACUUUUAUGAGGGUAUCUGUUUGGCACAGCUGGACUUGGUUGUGGGCUUAUUUAUCAUGCCAUAGUUAAUUUAAUCAGGACUGGAACCGGAAUGCCAAGAAGUCAGAAGAGGAAAAUCUGGUUUCCUCUAUAGUGAAAAAUGUUACUCUCUGGGGUGUUUUCCUUCCGCUUUCAUCAGAUACGCGUCAUCAGAUUGUUAAAGGAUUGGAAAAACAGAUUAAAGCAUCAUCUGUUGCAAAGCAGGUCCUAUUUACUGCUCUGGCUUUUGCAGUAGGCAUACGAUUCGCCAACAGUGUAUUUGGCGGGCUGCUGUUUGCUAACUGGGCAAAAUGGAGUGGGAUCAUGAAGAGCGAAUCUUGAUUCUCGACUCGUCCCUUGGAGUUUUUGCAUCUUCUUACACGCACUCUCUCUCUCUCCUUUUUCUUUUCUGUUAUUAUGUUCUGCUGUUGUUGUAACAUCUUGUACUAGUAGAAUUUGUGCAAUUGCCAAUCUACAUCAUGUUGUGCUGUUGUUGUAACAUCUUGGUUUCAAAGUAGGACUUAAUGACAUAAACGCGAGAACAUUUGGAUUCAAUAAUGUAGAUUUGCGUUGGCAGAGAUGUAUGAAACCUCGCUGGUGGCUGAAUGAGUUUUAGAAUGGUAGGACUGAAUGAGUUUUUUUGUGCUU